rnacentral:rRNA from 1 species
UUUAUGGAGAGUUUGAUCCUGGCUCAGGAUGAACGCUGGCGGCGUGCCUAAUACAUGCAAGUCGAGCGAACGGACGAGAAGCUUGCUUCUCUGAUGUUAGCGGCGGACGGGUGAGUAACACGUGGAUAACCUACCUAUAAGACUGGGAUAACUUCGGGAAACCGGAGCUAAUACCGGAUAAUAUUUUGAACCGCAUGGUUCAAAAGUGAAAGACGGUCUUGCUGUCACUUAUAGAUGGAUCCGCGCUGCAUUAGCUAGUUGGUAAGGUAACGGCUUACCAAGGCAACGAUGCAUAGCCGACCUGAGAGGGUGAUCGGCCACACUGGAACUGAGACACGGUCCAGACUCCUACGGGAGGCAGCAGUAGGGAAUCUUCCGCAAUGGGCGAAAGCCUGACGGAGCAACGCCGCGUGAGUGAUGAAGGUCUUCGGAUCGUAAAACUCUGUUAUUAGGGAAGAACAUAUGUGUAAGUAACUGUGCACAUCUUGACGGUACCUAAUCAGAAAGCCACGGCUAACUACGUGCCAGCAGCCGCGGUAAUACGUAGGUGGCAAGCGUUAUCCGGAAUUAUUGGGCGUAAAGCGCGCGUAGGCGGUUUUUUAAGUCUGAUGUGAAAGCCCACGGCUCAACCGUGGAGGGUCAUUGGAAACUGGAAAACUUGAGUGCAGAAGAGGAAAGUGGAAUUCCAUGUGUAGCGGUGAAAUGCGCAGAGAUAUGGAGGAACACCAGUGGCGAAGGCGACUUUCUGGUCUGUAACUGACGCUGAUGUGCGAAAGCGUGGGGAUCAAACAGGAUUAGAUACCCUGGUAGUCCACGCCGUAAACGAUGAGUGCUAAGUGUUAGGGGGUUUCCGCCCCUUAGUGCUGCAGCUAACGCAUUAAGCACUCCGCCUGGGGAGUACGACCGCAAGGUUGAAACUCAAAGGAAUUGACGGGGACCCGGACAAGCGGUGGAGCAUGUGGUUUAAUUCGAAGCAACGCGAAGAACCUUACCAAAUCUUGACAUCCUUUGACAACUCUAGAGAUAGAGCCUUCCCCUUCGGGGGACAAAGUGACAGGUGGUGCAUGGUUGUCGUCAGCUCGUGUCGUGAGAUGUUGGGUUAAGUCCCGCAACGAGCGCAACCCUUAAGCUUAGUUGCCAUCAUUAAGUUGGGCACUCUAAGUUGACUGCCGGUGACAAACCGGAGGAAGGUGGGGAUGACGUCAAAUCAUCAUGCCCCUUAUGAUUUGGGCUACACACGUGCUACAAUGGACAAUACAAAGGGCAGCGAAACCGCGAGGUCAAGCAAAUCCCAUAAAGUUGUUCUCAGUUCGGAUUGUAGUCUGCAACUCGACUACAUGAAGCUGGAAUCGCUAGUAAUCGUAGAUCAGCAUGCUACGGUGAAUACGUUCCCGGGUCUUGUACACACCGCCCGUCACACCACGAGAGUUUGUAACACCCGAAGCCGGUGGAGUAACCUUUUAGGAGCUAGCCGUCGAAGGUGGGACAAAUGAUUGGGGUGAAGUCGUAACAAGGUAGCCGUAUCGGAAGGUGCGGCUGGAUCACCUCCUUUCU